rnacentral:rRNA from 1 species
UACGUAGAGUGCAACGACGUUGUCCGGAAUUAGUUGGGUACGGUAAGGGUACGCAGGCGGAUAGUAAAGUCAAGCGUGAAAGGUGUCGGCUUAACCGACAGACUGCGUUUGAAACUGAUUAUCUUGAGUGUAACAGAGGAGAGUGGAAUUCCUAGUGUAGUGGUGAAAUACGUAGAUAUUAGGAAGAACACCAGUUGGCGAAGGCGACUCUCUGGGUUAACACUGACGCUGAGGUACGAAAGCUGGGGGAAGCAAACGGGAUUAGAUACCCGGGUAGU